AAUCUCUUCUCUUAAUCUUGUUUCAGUAAAAGAAAACUAGUAGGGGGAAGGGAUGAGACAAAGAAGACAUGCUAGUUUAACCUCAUUUAAUAAAGAUCAAGCACACAGAAGAUUACAAGAUGUAUCAGUUGAAGACAUGACCACAAGGGCUAUGACUGAAAUCAAAUUGAAUGAUUCCCCUGAGACUGAAGAACAAGAGGGAAGUCUUCAAUCAUUUAGCAAUUUCUUGACAGGGUUAAUGGAGAAGGAAGGUUAUCAAUAAAAGACAUCAUUGAGCUGCAGACACAUAUUUGAAACUGAUUUGUAGCAGAGAGAAUGAACUUGUUUUUUCUUGACCUCAGAGGACAAACCUGAGAACAACUGAUGGAUAUUCAAGAGAGACAGUAACAAGUUUGAUGUAGACAUCAAACACCCUGUGUCCUUAGAGUAGUUCCUGAUGGAAGGAAGCUAAAAUAAGGUGUUCCUGGCCAAGGGGAAUAUUCAUGCUGAGAGCUACACAUUUUUCUUUGAUAUUUGGCUGGACACAAUAAGGGACAAGAUUGUUGGUUGCAUUAAGAAGGCCUACAAGAAGAUCCUAUUUGCGGAAGCUACUCAUAUUCUUUUUUUCACCUCCCCCAAGAUGAUUGGUUAUGCCAAGAAGAAAGGAUGGGUCCUGGGCACCAGCAACUACUACAGCUUCAAGCAUCAGCAGCAAAAGCCAAAGGACACAGCCAUCCACUUGAUAGAGCUGCUCAGGCAGGUCGUUGAGUAUGUAAGGCAGCUGGAGAUGGCUGUAUGAGCCAAUCCAGCAAGGGAAGAAACAUUUAAAAGGGAGUAAUUAUUUCAUACAAUAAAUGAUAUGAGAUGGCCA
rnacentral:lncRNA from 1 species